rnacentral:rRNA from 1 species
UACGUAGGGGGCUAGCGUUGUCCGGAAUCAUUGGGCGUAAAGCGCGUGUAGGCGGCCCGGUAAGUCCGCUGUGAAAGUCGGGGGCUCAACCCUCGAAAGCCGGUGGAUACUGUCGGGCUCGAGUGCGGAAGAGGCGAGUGGAAUUCCUGGUGUAGCGGUGGAAUGCGCAGAUAUCAGGAGGAACACCGGUGGCGAAGGCGGGUCUCUGGGCCGAUAUUGACGCUGAGGAGCGAAAGCGUGGGGAGCGAACAGG